rnacentral:rRNA from 1 species
ACGAACGCUGGCGGCGUGCUUAACACAUGCAAGUCGAACGGAAAGGCCCUGCUUUUGUGGGGUGCUCGAGUGGCGAACGGGUGAGUAACACGUGAGUAACCUGCCCUUGACUUUGGGAUAACUUCAGGAAACUGGGGCUAAUACCGGAUAGGAGCUCCUGCUGCAUGGUGGGGGUUGGAAAGUUUCGGCGGUUGGGGAUGGACUCGCGGCUUAUCAGCUUGUUGGUGGGGUAGUGGCUUACCAAGGCUUUGACGGGUAGCCGGCCUGAGAGGGUGACCGGCCACAUUGGGACUGAGAUACGGCCCAGACUCCUACGGGAGGCAGCAGUGGGGAAUAUUGCACAAUGGGCGGAAGCCUGAUGCAGCAACGCCGCGUGCGGGAUGACGGCCUUCGGGUUGUAAACCGCUUUCGCCUGUGACGAAGCGUGAGUGACGGUAAUGAGUAAAGAAACACCGGCUAACUACGU